GUGCCAGCAGCCGCGGUAAAACGUAGGAGCCAAGCGUUAUCCGAAUUCACUGGGCGUAAAGCGUGUGCAGGCGGCAUGCUAAGUUGGAUGUGAAAUCUCCUGGCUCAACUGGGAGAGGCCGUUCAAUACUGGCAGGCUAGAGGGCAACAGAGGAAGGUAGAAUUCCCGGUGUAGUGGUGAAAUGCGUAGAUAUCGGGAGGAAUACCAGUGGCGAAGGCGACCUUCUGGGUUGCACCUGACGCUCAGACACGAAAGCUAGGGGAGCGAACGGGAUUAGAAACCCGCGUAGUCC
rnacentral:rRNA from 1 species